rnacentral:tRNA from 1 species
UCCCUUAUGGUCUGAUGGCUAAGACUCUGAACUCCCAGUGCAGGGGGCCCAGGUUCAAUCCCUGGUCACGGAA